rnacentral:rRNA from 1 species
ACAGCAGUCGCCACGGUAAUACGUAGGUCCCGAGCGUUGUCCGGAUUUAUUGGGCGUAAAGCGAGCGCAGGCGGUUAGAUAAGUCUGAAGUUAAAGGCUGUGGCUUAACCAUAGUACGCUUUGGAAACUGUUUAACUUGAGUGCAAGAGGGGAGAGUGGAAUUCCAUGUGUAGCGGUGAAAUGCGUAGAUAUAUGGAGGAACACCGGUGGCGAAAGCGGCUCUCUGGCUUGUAACUGACGCUGAGGCUCGAAAGCGUGGGGAGCAAACAGGAUUAGAUACCCCGGUAGUCCCUGUCUCUUAUACA